rnacentral:rRNA from 1 species
UACGUAUGUCUCGAGCGUUAUCCGGAAUUACUGGGUGUAAAGGGUUCGCAGGCGGUUUGUUAAGUUGGGUAUGAAAGACCGGGGCUCAACCCCGAGUUUGUGCUCAAAACUGGCAGACUAGAAUUAGGGAGAGGUAAGCGGAAUUCUAAGUGUAGGGGUGCAAUCCGUAGAUACUUAGAAGAACACCAAAAGCGAAGGCAGCUUACUGGAACUAUAUUGACGCUAAUGAACGAAAGCGUGGGGAGCAAAAAGG